rnacentral:rRNA from 1 species
UACAGGGGGGGCAAGCGUUGUUCGGAAUUACUGGGCGUAAAGGGCUCGUAGGCGGCCAACUAAGUCCGACGUGAAAUCCCAAGGCUUAACUUUGGAACUGCGUCGGAUACUGGAUGGCUUGAAUUCGGGAGAGGGAUGCAGAAUUCCAGGUGUAGCGGUGAAAUGCGUAGAUAUCUGGAGGAAUACCGGUGGCGAAGGCGGCAUUCUGGACCGACAUUGACGCUGAGGAGCGAAAGCUAGGGGAGCAAACGGG